rnacentral:rRNA from 1 species
GGCGGCUGCUUAACACAUGCAAGUCGAACGAAGUCUUCGGACUUAGUGGCGCACGGGUGAGUAACAUGUAGGAAUCUACCUAGAGGUUCGGAAUAACUGCGGGAAACUGUAGCUAAUACCGGAUGUGUCUGCAAAGAGAAAGAUUUAUCGCCUUUAGAUGAGCCUGCACUAGAUUAGCUUGUUGGUGAGGUAAGAGCUCCACCAAGGCUACGAUCUAUAGCUGAUUUGAGAGGAUGAUCAGCCACACUGGGACUGAGACACGGCCCAGACUCCUACGGGAGGCAGCAGUGGGGAAUAUUGGACAAUGGGGGAAACCCUGAUCCAGCAAUGUCGCGUGAGUGAAGAAGGCCUUCGGGUUGUAAAACUCUUUCAUCAGUGAAGAUAAUGACAUUAACUGAAGAAGAAGCUCCGGCUAACUCCGUGCCAGCAGCCGCGGUAAUACGGAGGGGGCUAGCGUUGUUCGGAAUUACUGGGCGUAAAGCGUAUGUAGGCGGAUUAAAAAGUUAGAUGUGAAAUCCCUGGGCUUAACCCAGGAACUGCAUUUAAAACUAGUAAUCUAGAAUUUGGUAGAGGAUAGUAGAAUUUCCAGUGUAGAGGUGAAAUUCGUAGAUAUUGGAAAGAAUACCAGUGGCGAAGGCGACUAUCUGGGCCAUUUUUGACGCUGAGAUACGAAAGCGUGGGUAGCAAACAGGAUUAGAUACCCUGGUAGUCCACGCAGUAAACGAUGAGUGCUAGUCGCUGGGUCAGUGGAUUCGGUGUCGAAGCUAACGCAUUAAGCACUCCGCCUGGGAAGUACGGUCGCAAGAUAAACCUCAAUGAAUGCG